rnacentral:misc_RNA from 1 species
CUCAACAACAACACAAUAACUCUGGUGGUCUUAUGCGUUAUUGCUCUGCUCCGACUUCUUUGUUUGCGAGUGUCGUUGAUGGAACUGAAGGUUUUCAUUCGAGCAACAAUGGCGGUGGGAGCCGUGAGGAUUAUCGGUUCAUUCGAUCUUCAAGCCCUGAGGUAGAGGUUAUUCUGUCGAGGUUUAUGGCGUCCUGUAAUGGAAACUUUGAUUCGG